UACGGGGGGAGCAAGCGUUGUUCGGAUUUACUGGGCGUAAAGGGCGCGUAGGCGGCGCAACAAGUCACUUGUGAAAUCUCCGGGCUUAACCCGGAGCGGUCAAGUGAUACUGUCGUGCUAGAGUGCGGAAGGGGCUACUGGAAUUCUCGGUGUAGCGGUGAAAUGCGUAGAUAUCGAGAGGAACACCUGCGGCGAAGGCGGGUUGCUGGGCUGACACUGACGCUGAACUGCGAAAGCUAGGGGAGCGAACGGG
rnacentral:rRNA from 1 species